rnacentral:rRNA from 1 species
ACCAGACUCCUACGGGAGGCAGCAGUGGGGAAUAUUGCACAAUGGGGGGAACCCUGAUGCAGCGACGCCGCGUGAGUGAAGAAGUAUUUCGGUAUGUAAAGCUCUAUCAGCAGGGAAGAAAAUGACGGUACCUGACUAAGAAGCCCCGGCUAACUACGUGCCAGCAGCCGCGGUAAUACGUAGGGGGCAAGCGUUAUCCGGAUUUACUGGGUGUAAAGGGAGCGCAGACGGCUGUGCAAGUCUGGAGUGAAAGGCGGGGGCCCAACCCCCGGACUGCUCUGGAAACUGUAAAGCUGGAGUGCAGGAGAGGUAAGCGGAAUUCCUAGUGUAGCGGUGAAAUGCGUAGAUAUUAGGAGGAACACCAGUGGCGAAGGCGGCUUACUGGACUGCAACUGACGUUGAGGCUCGAAAGCGUGGGGAGCAAACAGGAUUAGAUACCCUAGUAC